rnacentral:lncRNA from 1 species
CAGGAAAACUGCCCUGGGGGCCACGGCGCAGCCUGUCCACCCUUCAGACACAGAGCACAGAAGAUUCUGUGGUUUCCACACCUGGGAAGAGAAAAGGAAAACCUCCCAGUGUUCAGGUAGCCACAACUUGACCAUGGGGACCCCUUGAACUGGCACCACCUCCUGUCCGCACCCAAGUCCCCACCAGCCUGUCCCUCUGACAGCUCUGGGCUGGGUGUGGCAGGGACAGGGCAGAAGUGAGACUUUGACCUGGUGGGUGCACACGCAUAGGUGUAAAUCUAGCUCCAACAUCUUACGUGAGAAUGAUUUGAAUUCAGAUUCUUUAAUGGCCCACCCUGGAGUUUUAUCCCUCCUGUUAAUAAUUUCAUGACCAAUACAA